CCUACGGGUGACAGCAGUGAGGAAUAUUGGUCAAUGGUCGGGAGACUGAACCAGCCAAGCCGCGUGAGGGAGGAAGGUACAGAGUAUCGUAAACCUCUUUUGUCAGGGAACAAAGACUGGGACGCGUCCCCGGCUGCGUGUACCUGAAGAAAAAGCAUCGGCUAACUCCGUGCCAGCAGCCGCGGUAAUACGGAGGCUGCGAGCGUUAUCCGGAUUUAUUGGGUUUAAGGGGUGCGCAGGCGGUCUGUUAAGUCAGCGGUCAAAGCCCGGGGCUCAACCCCGGCCCGCCGUUGAAACUGGCAGUCUCGAGUUGGAGAGAGGUAGGCGGAAUGCGCGGUGUAGCGGUGAAAUGCAUAGAUAUCGCGCAGAACUCCGAUUGCGAAGGCAGCAUGCCGGCUCCACACUGACGCUGAGGCACGAAAGCGUGGGUAUCGAACAGGAUUAGAUACCCCGGUAGUC
rnacentral:rRNA from 1 species